UUCUACUUUGGAAUUUGUUAUUGGCCUAAAAUAUUAGCCCAACAACAAUUAGGAUCAUCGCAAUACUUGGAGUCUCAUAAAUAGGAGUCCCAACAUUCUUAGCCUUUCCUUUUUCGAGUUUGAUUAUAUUAUUUUCAUAUGUUGACUAACCUUUACUUAUGCCUACAUAACUCUUAAGUUUUCGAUACAUUGCUUGUCUUUUUAUUUUGAAGAUUAUUUAUGUGAG
rnacentral:lncRNA from 1 species